GCGGUUGCGAGGGAUUAUUUAUAAUUUAUGUUUUUAGAUUACAAUUUUAUGAUUUAAUGACAUUUUACAAACUUUACUGCCAAAUUGCAUUUUUUGUUUUCGGUUUGAUUCCAGUUUAGUUGCAAUGUUUGAAUUCCAUUUUAAAAAGUAACCGUUCUGUUAUUUAUAAAUUUGGCUUUGGUUUGGGUUGGUUAUUUUAGUUUUUGGUUUGGUUCAAAUAACAGUCUUAAGAACCUGAUAAAAUUUCAAGUUGAGUUUGAGUGUCUCGGUAUGAAUAGGGAUAUGUAAUUUUCGAGUCGAUUAUGAUUUAGGUAGCUAUAUUUCCGUUUUUUUUCUUUGUUUUUUAUUUUAUUUUAUUUUAUUUUAUUGAAUAGUUUUAUACUUUAAAUAUGUUUAGAAAUUCUUUAUACUUCAAGAUUAUAUACCAAGUCAGAAUAUAUAUAUAUAUAUAUUAAUUACGUACAUAUAUCUUUUAAAGGUAAUAUGUAUAUUCUACAGUUGUGAUCAAAAUAAACCCAUAUCAUUUUGAAACAUUAAAUAUUUUUAUUCUAAAUAAGGAUUAAGUAGCUAUAUUCAAAAAAAAAUUAUAAAAAAUUUUGGAUCUGAAACUAUAAAAAAAAUUUCUUUUAUUUAUUUUUGUUUGUUUAUUUAAUUUUAAAUCAAGGGUAUUAGGGAUAUUUUACUCUUUAAUGAAUGUCAUUUUUGUGACUUUCUCCUUCUAGUUCCAUUUUUGAGACAAAAACUCUAAAGGUGCUAUUAUUGACAAUUGCCCUUUAAAUAAAUGUGUACAAAAUUCCUUCUGAAUUUUAAUGAAAAACUAGGAUAAGACUUGCGCCUUGCACAGAGUAAAUAUAUAUAUAAAUUAUUUAAGAAAUAUCGUAUGAAAAAAAAAUUAUAUUAUUGAUCAAAUUAAUAUAUUUGGCCCUUAAAAAAAUUAAAAAACUUUUUUGUUAAUUACAUAAUUUGUUUACUAAUGAACUGAUCUCAUUUUUAAAAAUAUUUUAGGUCAAAAAAUUACUUAUCGCAUAAAAACCUAACAUUUAGGUCGAAGAAUCUCAUGCCUACUAUUUGGUUACAAUGAAACUAUGUCAACUCGGUUUUAUAUCAUGAUUUAGCAAUUUAAAAGUUACUUAUGGUUAUGAGAAAUUUACGUUCACGUGCCAAUCCUAUUUAUCUUCGAUAUUUUUCACCUUUUUGUGUCAUUUUAGUUAUUGCUCGAUAUAAAUAUUGAUUUUUGAGUUUAUUUUCAUUUCUUUCUUUUAUUAUGGCAUGAUAUUUAGAAAAUGUUUAAGAUUCAAAAUUAUUAAAGAGAUACAUAAUUAGGUUAAGAUCUGCGUCUUGUGCAGAAUAAAUACUUAUUUUAUAUUUUUUCUGCAUAAUACGAAAUAAUAAAAUAAUAAUUAUAUAUUAAAUAACUAAUAAAUCAGUUACUAUUAUGUAAUAAAUUGGCUUGCACAUAUAAAUCAAAUCACCGCUCUUGUUUAUUCGCAACCAUUUUAGAAUAAAUAAAUCAAAUGACCGCUCUUAGGAGAUUCGUAUGAGAGUAACGAUGUACUCAUGUGUGAGGAUCAUCGUUAUCUCUUGAGGCUUAGAUAAUCUGUAAUCGACAUUGUUACGAGGUUUACAAGUAAUCGAUAAGUUCACCAGCUCAAACUUAUCAUCAGCACUAAGCAGAACCUACUGAGCAUAAAAGAACCCUAAAACAAUGAAGAAAUAUUUAAUAGGCAAUUGAAAUUAGAAACUCGAAACCUUUGGAUUUCAAAUAAACAAAACACUGAGAGUCUGAGACUCUGACCCUAAACGAUUAGCAAUAGGACGAUUACUACGCUAAUAUAUUUAAUAAGAAAAAAAAAUGCUCAAACGUCUUGUGGUCACGUCAGAUGCGCCUUUUGCGUGUCCUCAGUUCGAAAUCUGCUGGGGUACUUUUUUCACUUGUUUAAUUGCAUGGUAUUCGAACCCAGGUUCGCAGUGUAAGCGAUUAUAAACUUACCAUUGUGCUAGAAAGAACAUGUUUUCAGCAAUUAACUAUUUAUAUAAUCUUAUAUGGAUUAUGUUUUAUAAUUUUACUGUCAAAAAAAAAUUGUUAAUGAAAUGUGAAUUCAGCAACUUAUUCUCAAACGAAUAGAGUUAUGGAUUUAUUCUCAAACGAAAAGAGUUAUGGAUUGAUGGAUUCUUCAUGAUUCUUUAUGUUUAUAAUAAAUAUCUUCAAAACAAAUUAUAUAAUUUUUAAAAGAGAAAAAGACUAAAGAUAGCACCAAAACCAAGUUUCUGUUUCCAAACUAGCACUCAACGCUCAAAAUCACAAAAAUAGGUUUAGAGUUAAGGGGUGGGGUUUUGGAAUUAGGGUUUAAAAUUUUAUAAAAUAAAAAAUAAAUACUAAAAAAUUAAAAAUAAAAAUAAAAUUUAAAAACAAUUCCAAAAAGUAUUUUUGAAUUAUAAAAAGAAAAUUUGAAAAAAAAUUAAAAAAAUUUCAAAAAAAAAAAUUUCAAAAAAAAUUAUAAAAAAUUUUGAAUCUGAAACUAUAAAAAAAAUUUCUUUUAUUUAUUUUUGGUUUGUUUAUUUAAUUUUAAAUCAAGGGUAUUAGGGAUAUUUUACUCUUUAAUGAAUGUCAUUUUUGUGACUUUCUCCUUCUAGUUCCAUUUUUGAGACAAAAACUCUAAAGGUGCUAUUAUUGACAAUUGCCC
rnacentral:lncRNA from 1 species